rfam:Helianthus annuus linkage group 16, whole genome shotgun sequence.
AGACCGUGAUGAGGACAGUUUCUUAGUAGCUCCUUGAAGCUUUCCAAAGUUUCAUAUAAAGACUCCCCAUCCUCUUGUGAAUAUGUAUUAAUUUCAGUCAUUAAUUU